CACCUGGGGGGGGGUGUCGCUCUAACAGGAGCAGUGUGUUAGUACUUCCUGUCUGACUGGCUGACAUCCACCUUUACAGUUACAGCUGUCUCUUUAAGAGGAUUCCGACAGGUGACAGUGCCUUUCCUCUCCAGACAGUUGUAUAGAACAUCUCUAGACGCUGUAGUGUCACAAUUUCCAUAAGAACCAAGAAUCCCAAACACUGUUCCAGCACGACACAACCCGCACAAAAAGUGCGAGCUCCAUGAAGACACGGUGUGUGAAGGUUGGAAUAAGGUAGAAGAACUCAAGUGUCCUGUACAGAGCCCUGACCUCAACCCCACUGACUCAUCACCUUUGGGAUGAACUGGAACUGGAGUCUCCUUACAUCAACAUCAGCUCCUGACCUCAACCUCACUAACGCUCCUGUAGCUGAACGAACACAAAUCCCCACAGCCACGCCCCAAAAUCUAGUGCAAAGCCUUCCCAGAGGAGUGGAGCGCAUUAUUACAAUAAUUUUGUAUGACAGGGUGGAAUGUGUAUGAAUGGAACAUGUCAAGAUAAAACAUUAAAAAUAUAUUUUAUAAAUGAUGAGUGACUUAACCAGCUUAUGAAUGUUAGAGUAGUACUUUAGUAAAUACUCUCACAUUAUCUCAACACAGUAAAUACAUGAAAUGAUUAUGACCUGCUCUACCACUUAAACGUACCUUUUCAUUUAAGUGAAUUGUAAAGAAACAAAUCCGUGAAAUUUUUGCAGAAUAUUUUAAUGUUAAAAUGAACAGCUUCAACACUUUUACACGAUUAAUAACACACAUGUAGUGAACAACACACUGGUCCAUUUCUGCUACCAGGAACUCCACUGCUGCUAACUCAGACCAGCUGAGUACACACACACACACACACACACACACACACACACACACACACACACACACACACACACACACA